UACAGAGGUCCCGAGCGUUGUUCGGAUUCAUUGGGCGUAAAGGGUGCGUAGGCGGCGGGGAAAGUCUGAUGUGAAAUCCUGGGGCUCAACCCUGGAACUGCAUUGGAUACUUCCUUGCUAGAGUACUGGAGAGGAAACUGGAAUUUACGGUGUAGCAGUGAAAUGCGUAGAGAUCGUAAGGAAGACCAGUGGCGAAGGCGAGUUUCUGGACAGUGACUGACGCUGAGACGCGAAAGCGUGGGGAGCAAACAGG
rnacentral:rRNA from 1 species